ensembl:lincRNA
UGGGGCAUGAAGGUGGGUCAAGGAACUGCUUGAGAUUCGAUGUGGAUGAUUAACCUUCUUGUUAGUCUUAGGGCUCGCAGCCUGAUAUAGUUACUCUUUAAAAUGGGCUGAAACGCCGCAGAGGGAAGACGCCAUAGGUUAUUAACGCUAGCACGAGCCAGGCCUUCACUAGCUCAUCCUCGUGCUACACAGCUCUUGCUGAACUGCAGCACCUAACCCGAAGGGCUGCCUCUCAAACUUCCACAGGACCCAGGCGGGGCUCUGCUUUCCUGCAGGUGGCUCGGCCCGGACACAGACCUCCCGCCAGCCCGGGUACCGAGGUGCCCACCGUGCGAUCAGUGAAGAGUCCUGGGUCCAGGAGGGUGCCGGGGUUCGAGGGGCUCCAAAGGAAAAGUAGCGACUGCCUCGGGAGUUCGGGGCCGAAGAGGCUCCCCAGCUCAGUACUAAAACGCUCCAGUCCAAGAAGAGACCGAAGGUGGCUUGAAACAGCACGAGAGCUUGGUGAGGGGAGGAUCGAUUUUACGAAAAACAGGUAUUACCCAGACAAAAACCGCAACUCAAGCUCUCCAGUCAUUCCUUUACAGCAGGGUCCUCCUCGUGAGCCGUCCUGUCCAGCAAGCACCCAGCCGGCCUCAGGCUCGGCACGAGUCUUACAAGUAUGCUGCAGUCAUCGUGCGUCACGGGGCGAAAUGCACAGCCCUGGGGAGGACAGGAAGGGAACCGGUGCUCCCUGAGGGUUCACCGCCAGGCACCUCUGCGGAGUCCUCAAGCGGAGCACCCCAGCCUAUAGCAGAGGAGAAGGGCAGGCCGCAGACAGUCCGGGAAGGACAUCUUGCAUUGAUUCUCAGCGCUUUGCCAGCUCUCUGGGUGACAGAGCAAACCCUUUCCUCCUGAGCCUGGGCUCCUUCACCCAUAAAAUACGGCAUUGGGAUUCAGUAUUUUCUAAAAUUCCUCCUCAUGAAUGUCAGUGUUUGUACGAGGAUAAUUCUUCCCAUUGUGAUAAGAGGUGGAGGAUCAGAGGCGGAGGGGUUUUCCCAUUGAAAAGGUUCAACCCUCGGUACCCCCUAAAAGCAAAUAUUCUCCACUCCAGAAUUACCUGUUUUGACCUCAUUUCUUUCUCUUUUCUCUUUGUGUGUUCAUGUGUGUGUUUUGAGAAAAGAUCGCACAAGACAAAAAAACUGGGUAUGGUGGUACAUACCUUUAAUCCCAGCACUCUUCAAGGCUGAGACACGAGGAUCACAAGUUUGACCCUAGCAUAGGCAAUUUAGCUAGAACCCAUCUCAAAUUUUUAAAAUUGGGGGGGGGUGUGCUGGGAUGUAGCUAAGUGUGAAGGCCCUUAGUUCAAUCCUCAGUGUCAAACAAAGAGCUAAAUAUAUGACAGAUUCUCAGGUUUUAAUAAAUUUGUUUGAAAUUAUAUUUUAGAUUUAGUCAUUUUUACUUAUUUGUGGUACCAGGGAUUGAACUCAGGACCCUGUGCUUGUGAGGCAGGCACAAUGCCACUGAGCUAAAUCUAGUCACUUUAAAAAUUAAGAUACAUUUCACACACUAUGAAAUUUACUCUGACAGUGCUCAAUUCAGUGAUUUUUAUAUAUUCACAAAGUUAGAAACCAUCACCAGGAAUACCAGAGCAUUUGCAUCAUCCCAAAAAGAAACGGUAUCUAUUAGCAGUCAAUUCCCCAUUCCUGCAGAAGCCCCUUACAGUCACCAAACCAUUUACAUUCUGUCUCUAUGGCUUUGCCUCUUCUAGACAUUCCACAUAAAUAGAAACAAUGUAUCUUAUCUGGAAACUUAAUAAUUAUAAGAUCUACCCGUGCCAUAGUGCAUAUUAAAGCGUCAUUCUUUUGCCCCCAUCAUACCGUUGAUUGAUGGUGGAAUUAUGCUGGAAAACAAUUGUUUGACUAGUUUACUAAGUGAAUUCUUUCUUUGAAGCAUAACAUGCAAAAAAAGUGUCACCUUGUCAGUAUAGAAGUCCUGGGAUUUAUAUAAAGACAUCUCAGCAGUGAUUUAAAUUCUCCUUAUCACAUCAAGCAAUUGCUUUGUGAGAGUGUGUGUGUGUGUGUGUUAAUAUCUGUAUGUGGGAAUAAACACACUAACUAGGCUACUCAGAAAAUAUUUUCUAGAGCUGAUCUAUAUGAAAGAAAAGGUAUUUUGUUCAGGGGGGUGAGGUCUUAUCCUAAAUGAAAGCAAUAAAUAGUUCAGCUUCAGAACAGUGAUCUAUUCAGUACUAUACUAAUAUAUACAAUAUAUGUAUUUUAUAUAUGUUAAUUUUUUCAAGUUUCUUUCUGGUUCUGAAAGCCUUCUUGAAUUUCUCCCUCUGCUUUUAGGGGAAAAAGACAGAGAGGCAUAGUUGAAACUGAUACUGGUGGCCUUGGUGGCAGACAUCUUGAUGAGAUGAUUGAACCAAUAUUUGAAUUGUAAUCUUGGUUCAGAGUUGGCAUGGAUUUAAAAUGGAAAUUUGGGGAGUUUAAGGUCACAAACUACAAUCAGAAUUUUUUUUUUUUUUUUUUUUU